rnacentral:lncRNA from 1 species
GAAGAGUAGUGCAUGGAAGGUCGACGACAGUUGUAUCACAUGAAGGACACUGUUCCUUCCCUGCAGUUGAAGCCUAGCUUGAUGGCCUCGACAUCGUCGGUUGAUUAGCUGCUUCUUGGCAAAUCAGUUAAUGAAAAAGGAUUUCCCCGUUUUAUAUUAUGAAUAAACAACCAACUGAUACAACCAAUUCGCUGGGUUACAACACAAACAAGCCGAUACAACCAAUUCGCUGGGUUACAACACAAACAAGCCAAAAGGAAAAAAGAAAAAACAAAUGCCGACGCCGGUAGUUCAACCAAGCCAAGAUGGCUGACAACCGCCGUACCCUCCGAAGAAAUACCACCGCAUGCCUUGCACUCUGAAGCCUCGCGUACUAAGCAACACCUUCAGGAAGGAAUGCAACGCUGACGCCACUGCUGUCCGGACAAAUCCUACGGUUUCCCCCGAUACGCGGAUGACCGUGGGGAAGGGGUAUCACUGACGCCCCUGAGGAAGGUCUGACGGUGCCCACGGGCAUAGCCGCGCCGGUGGCGGACGAGCCGCUAGGGAUUUAUCCCGCCCCGAAACCACCACCGCUACCCCAGACAAUUGAAAAUGCAUUGCCUAACAUACCGCCCACCAGCCUGUGCCACCACGGUCACCACACCAACUUCACCGUCUCACUGAAGCCACCAACACAAGAUCUAGAGGGAGGACGAGGAGAUAUCAGGCUUAGGGGCAACCGCGACGCAGCCGACACGAGGGGACAACCUUCACCGCCGCGCAGAGCCGACCGGAUGUAGCGACAGGGACUUGCCAGGCCAUCACACGCGCGGCCGGACCCCAAUGAGUCCGGACAGUCUGAGCAGCCGCACUGCN